rnacentral:lncRNA from 1 species
GUUUGACUUCAUUCAGGCGUCAUCUGCCCGGGGACCAGAAAGUUUGCUCUGUAUUGCUUGAAACAUGCACUCGGGGAACUUAGAAACAUCACUUUGAGAGCCUAAAACAAAACCUGCACCUGUCCCAAGGCUGAUGUGCAGAGCUGGAGCUUGAGAACUCAGAACCCUUGUGGGGGUACUCGUGGGGGAGAAUUGUUCUGAACCCCAGUGCCACUCCUCAAUUCCAGGCCUCUUUCUUCCAGAGCACGGAGGGCCUGCGUAGAUGUGCAGUCCUCGGCCUUCUGGAGGCCGAAACCCAUCUGCCAACUGCUCAGCAGGGACCAGGAGAAAAGCGGAAUGGGAAAGGAAGAGGAAGCAGAGAAAGUUCUGGGCCCGUUGCGGAGGAGGCCCUGCCUGGGAUGCACCCCCGCCCGGGGCCAGCUGACCCGUGACCGCUCCUCCUGGUGCCAGGCGACGCCCGCGCCCUGGUGUGCUUUCACCCCCCACAUCCCCCCCCCCCCCCCCCCCCCCCCCCCCCCCCCACCCUCUCGAUAAGGCUCUUUUUGUUCCGGACCAGGAGCACUUUCACAAAUGGUUAGAAAGUCUUGAGCGCCAUCUAACGGGAACAGCAAAAAGUUGAAAGUGGGUGGAGGUUAGGACCUGUGAGGUGCCCAGGCUGGGCUCCGGAGAGUCCAUUCCCCAACUCUAUCCACACUCUCAAGCCUUGACUUCCCUUCUCUUACUCUCACAACUCUCGUCCCCUGGAACUCCAGACUUGACCACUCUCGCAGGCUCACCUUUCCAGAGCCCUGGGGCAGUUGUAGGCUGCUUCUUGGACCUUCUCUUCCACUUCUGUUUCAGUUUCUUGACAGUCACCUCCAAUCAACUCCGAUCAGGCUUCGUAAAGUUGAAUGCAGAGUUUCACAAAAUUGGCAGCAGCUCUGCUUCAUUUGCUGAGUGUGGAACGUGGCAUAAGAGAGUUUCACCUGGCCUGAGGGUGGGGUGGAGCGGCUGGAGAGAUGGCUCAGAGGUUAAGAGCACUGGGCUGCUCUUCCAGACCACUGGGUUUCCAUUCCCAGUACUCACAUGUCUGUAACUCCAUUUCCAUAGGACCUAACAGCCUCUUCUGGCCUCUGAGGGUUCCAGGCAGGUACGUGUGUAGACAUGCAUGCAGGCAAAAUCACUUAUACCCACAAAAGCAAGACAGAUUUACUCUCUUUCCUUCUCUGUUCCAUCAAUAGCCCCAAUAAAAUAUCCAAGACUGAAGACUCUGUUGUCCA